AGAACAAAGACUUGAAUUUUAGCUUCAAACUGGUUUCCUUCCAGGUUCUAGCUGAAAAUAAUAUAAGCAUGCAUUAUUUUGUUGUGCUUUACAGGUAUUGUGUUUUAUUAUAAAUUGAAGAUUGAUGACAAACUUGCAUUAAGCAAAUUCAUUAGCACCAGUUUUUAGAUAAUUGUUAGCAUUUUGUAGCGAUAAAGUAUUUUUUUUAAGCUAAUGUAUGCAUAUUGCCUUUUUAGAUGUAAUUUAUUGUACACUUAAGUAGACCACAAAAUUGUGUAAACUAUAUGCACCAGGGAACCAAAAAAUUUGUGUGACUUACUUUGUCAUGGCAUUUGCUUUAUUGUGUGGAGCUGAAGCUACGGUAUCUCCAAGAUAUGCCUUUAGUGUACUUUACAACUAGUGAUAAAACCAGAAAGAAUUGUUUUUUUCCCCCCAUUUCCCAUUCUCAAUGCAGGGGACAUUGAGCUGACUGCAUAUUUUUCUAUUGGUUGGGUCAGGAAGGCCCAAAAUUACAAGGAAAAGAAGUGAGCAUGGCUGUCAGAAAGUCAACUCUCUAUAAAAAGCCUUUUCUGGGUUCUAAAGUCUGAAGAAGACGAUUUACUGAUCAUUGCCAUCUUCAGGCUAUUGGAGUUUGACUCAGAGUAGCCUAUGUGCAAUUUGAACCAUGCACACAAAGUAAGGCAUUUGGAACUGGAAGGUUCCACUUGCCCACGUUUGGAAACAGUAUCAUUUCUCCUAGAAAUAGCAGUCCUAAGGGUGAUGAUUCCCAGGCCAGCCUGAGUCUGUAGCAAGUAUAGUGUGAUUCAGUACAGAAGGCAGAAAUAUGCCUUCAUCCUCCAUAACAAGGGCUGGAGUGAUUGGGAUGUGCAAAGGGUGUGCCUUGAUGAACUUCAACAGUGACAUUUAUGAAUGAAUUUUUUGCUUAAAAGUUCCUCCAACGCAGUCAUUCUUA
rnacentral:lncRNA from 1 species